rnacentral:rRNA from 1 species
GACGAACGCUGGCGGCGUGCUUAACACAUGCAAGUCGAACGGAAAGGCCCUGCAUUUGUGGGGUGCUCGAGUGGCGAACGGGUGAGUAACACGUGAGUAACCUGCCCUUGACUUUGGGAUAACUUCAGGAAACUGGGGCUAAUACCGGAUAGGAGCUCCUGCUGCAUGGUGGGGGUUGGAAAGUUUCGGCGGUUGGGGAUGGACUCGCGGCUUAUCAGCUUGUUGGUGGGGUAGUGGCUUACCAAGGCUUUGACGGGUAGCCGGCCUGAGAGGGUGACCGGCCACAUUGGGAAUGGGCUACGGCCCAGACUCCUACGGGAGGCAGCGGUGGGGAAUAUUGCACAAUGGGCGGAAGACUGAUGCAGCAACGCCGCGUGCGGGAUGACGGCCUUCGGGUUGUAAACCGAUUUCGCCUGUGACGAAGCGUGAGUGACGGUAAUGGGUAAAGAAGCACCGGCUAACUACGUG